GUGUUAGUAGUUUAUUAGAAUAAUUGCCUUCCAAGCAAUAGGUUUAGGUUUUUACUUAAUUAACAUA
rnacentral:tRNA from 1 species